rnacentral:rRNA from 1 species
UACAGAGGUGGCAAGCGUUGUUCGGAAUUACUGGGCGUAAAGGGCGCGUAGGCGGUCUUGUCAGUCCCUUGUGAAAUCCCCCGGCUCAACUGGGGAACUGCAAGGGAAACAGCAGGGCUUGAGUUCGGGAGAGGGAUGCGGAAUUCCAGGUGUAGCGGUGAAAUGCGUAGAUAUCUGGAGGAACACCGGUGGCGAAGGCGGCAUCCUGGACCGGCAUUGACGCUGAGGCGCGAAAGCUAGGGGAGCAAACGGG